rnacentral:lncRNA from 1 species
CACAUAAUUUCAUAUAAACAGACUAGUGGAUACAAAUCGCACAAUAAACCGAUACUUGUUCUUAUCCUGAUUGAUCAGACGAAUCCUCACACGAUAAUCGGUCUUAUCCUAUGUAGAGAUUUUAACCAAAAAUAAAAUCAGUAAUAACCUAAUAAAGUCUACGUGUAAUACUGCACUACUAAAGGAAACAUUGUAAUUCUUUACUAUAGAUAGAAAAAGAAACAUUAGUUUGUCAAUGCAAGGAUGUGAGACAGAGCAUGAAUCCAUAACAUAUUGUUUUUCAGUUACAACUAUAAUACCUUUGUAUGGAGAUAAGAAAUUAUUAAGAUUAAGCAAGUUGAUCACGAUCAUCAACUUUUACUUGAAUUCAACAUUUUCACUAACUAGUACGUUAGAAUUGUUGUAUAUGGAAAGUGAGCAAAACUAAACAGAAGAAAAGACCCAUCAUUCUAUAAGUUCGUUAUCUCUUUUAUUUCUGAUUCAAACUCUACAAGUCUGUUUUAGAAGACAAGACACUGGUUUUGGGACGUUUCAUUCAUUAUCCUUUUUUAGAUGCCUGCUCUGAGUUUCUGAAUAUAUGAAAAAUAGAAAGAUAAUAUAGUCGAUUACACAACCAUUAAACAAUUUUUUGUCUUCAUGUUUUGAAUAUUAACUUAGACAUCAACAAAAACAACCAUGGAAGCAGUAUUAAGAAUGAGAAUGGUAAUAACAGCAAAAAUAAUCCAAAAGGGUGGAUACUUACACAACUUUUGGCGAGGUGCAUAAAUGAAGCAUUUGCCAGAAAGUAUAGUCAAUAUCCAUUUGUAGCCAUUGCAAUGAAUCAGAUGAAUGAAAACAAUAUUAGGGAACAAAGAUACCAAACAAGUUGCUGGGUAAAGAAAUGAAUGUGCACCUAAAGUUAAUCUCUAUAUUCAUAAAUAUAUAUUAAUAUACAAAGAGAACAAUAUUGUGACAAUUUUAUUUUGAAGAGAAAAUUUCCAAAGUGAGUGCAAUUAGCUCACUUUUGAACCACAGAUUGAACCAUCGAGCUCUCUGACAACCAAGUGGGACAAAGGAACAAUGCAUCCAUUAAUUACACCACUCUAAUAAAGUACACCAAAAUUUAAAACCUCGCUAUAGUUUUAGGAGCCACCAAGAGUUAGAAUUCAUGUUAUUUAGAGCAAGCAAAUAAGCUAAUGAUAACUUAUUUUUAGCAAGUAAGCUAAUGACCCCAAAAUAUAUAUAUUCACACAGAGGGAAAUAGAAGAACUUGUAUAUUAAGGAGUAAAUUUUAAAUUUACAAAACAAAAUAGGGUUUCCUUCGCAAUGGGAUGCAAAAUUCGGAGCAUUGGCAUCACAAUAAUUAUAAAUAAAUAAAAAAUUGACAGUUUAAUAUUUUUAAAAUGAUCAGCGAGAUCAGAUCAGUUGGAAUCAAAUUGUAUGAAACAGAUAUAUAAAAACAAAUCCUACUUGAUUGUGUGGUCAGAGAGUGGGAGAAGAAACAAAAAUCUUGAUUAUUCUACGAAGGUAUUGAGGGAAGACAGGAUUGGCUCGGACAUGGUGAGAUGGCGAACGCCCUUUCGAUACAGUGGGCAACGUCUCCUCUUAUUCUUCUUCUUUUUGCUCGACUAAUUAAAUAAUCUGUGAUUAAUUUCCGAUCGAAGAAGAUCUCUUAAUAACGACUCGCUGCUCUCUCUCUCAAUCAGAGUCAGGUAAGCCAGAGCGAGUCGGGUCAUGUUGAAACCAAAUCCUAAUACAGUAGCCAAAAUAUAUAUAAAUUUAGUAUACCA